rnacentral:rRNA from 1 species
UACGUAGGGGGCAAGCGUUGUCCGGAAUCAUUGGGCGUAAAGAGCGCGUAGGCGGUCCGGUAAGUCCGCUGUGAAAGUCAAGGGCUCAACCCUUGAAUGCCGGUGGAUACUGUCGGGCUAGAGUCCGGAAGAGGCGAGUGGAAUUCCUGGUGUAGCGGUGAAAUGCGCAGAUAUCAGGAGGAACACCAAUGGCGAAGGCAGCUCGCUGGGACGGUACUGACGCUGAGGCGCGAAAGCGUGGGGAGCGAACCGG